CUCGCAACCCAGACCUUGCUUCGGCAGCCGUCGACCUCUCCCUCAUCUCAGUCUGUCAAUCUCUCUCUCCAUCUCAGGUAGUGACUAUGCAGGCUAUCAAUGUUCUCCUCACUUCUAAUGGAAUGAUAUUUUCAAGAGAAAAAGCUAUUAAUCCGACCCGUUACUCCAACCAAACCUUGUCUCAGCUAUUUCGCACUCUUCAUACAAAAAAUUUUCAAGCCAUACCUUGCCAUGAACGACCACGAAUUGUGAACUCGAAGAGUCGCAAACGCAUACCUUUCAUCACCCAAGUCAAAGAGUUGCAUGACCCAGAAGAAGCCAUAUCUCUUUUUCAUGAAUGCAAGAGGCAGGGAGUCAAGCAUGACUACCCCUCCUAUGCUGCAUUACUCUACAAACUAGCUCGAUCAAGAAGCUUUGAAGCUGUUGAAACUGUUCUUGCUUAUAUUCAAGACAGAGGCAUACACUGCAAAGAAACCAUUUUUGUUGCCCUAUUUCAGCAUUACAGUAAAGCCAAGCUUCCUGAAGAAGCUGUCAAACUUUUCAAUAGAAUGCCUCAGUUCAAUUGCAUCCGUACGUUGCAAUCCUUCAAUGCACUUCUUAAUACUUUAAUUGAUAAUGAUUGCUUUACUGAAGCAAAUGAUACUUUCAAAGGAUCAUAUAAAAUGGGGUUUCGUCCAAAUACAGUUUCAUUCAACUUAAUGAUCAAAGGAUGGCUGGCAAUAGAUGAGUUUGAUAAAGCGUGUGAUGUGUUUGAUGAAAUGUUGGAGAAGAAAGUACAGCCAAGUGUUGUGACAUAUAAUAGUCUCAUUGGGUUCUUGUCUAGAAAGGGUGAGAUAGGUAAAGCAAUGACAUUGCUUGAGGAUAUGACAAAGAAAGGAAAAUACCCUAGCAAAGUAACUUAUGCAUUGUUGAUGGAGAGCUUUUGCUCCAUGGACAAGUAUGAGGAAGCUAAGAAGCUGAUGUUUGAUAUGGCAUAUCGAGGGUGCAAACCUCAGCCUAUCAAUUUCUCUGUUUUGAUGAAUGAUUUGGGAAAGAGAGGGAAGAUUGAGGAGGCAAAAUCCUUACUUCACGAGAUGAGAAAGAGAAGGUUGAAGCCAGAUGUUGUAAUCUACAAUAUAUUGAUAAAUUAUCUAUGCAAGGAAGGUAAGACAGAAGAAGCUUACAAAGUGUUAAUUGAGAUGCAGAUUAAAGGUUGUGAGCCAAAUGCUGCUACCUACCGGAUGAUGGUUGAUGGUUUCUGCAAGACUGGAGAUUUUGACGGAGGUCUGAAUAUUUUGAAUGUAAUGCUAGCAAGCAAGCAUUAUCCCCGUUCUGAAACAUUUAAUUGUUUGGUCGUGGGCCUAUUAAACUGUGGGAAGAGUGAUGGUGGUUGCUUUGUCUUGGAAGAGAUGGAGAAGAGAAAGGUGCAAUUUGAUUUAAAGAGUUGGGAAACUGUUGUGAAAUAUGCUUGUGCUGAAGAUGAAAAUGCUAGCGUGCUUAUUGAUGACCUUACAUCCACUCAUCAUCAUCUGCAUUAGAUAAGGGAUCAGUCGGAGCUCGUAUUUUUUUUGUGCAACACUUUUACUCUGGAUUGAACAUCCUUAAUGCAUUAAAAUGGUGGAUUAUUCUGGCACAGGAGCUUCUGGACAGGAAUUAAAUUUUUAAUUUCUGCCAUUUGAUAGGUGUAAGUUGAAGCCAUAUGCAUGCUUCUCUCAGGUUCAGAUGCCAUUUUCCUUCCCCUUUAUAUGCUUGAGAUUUGCUGCAAAAAGCAAAGCAAGGCCCACGUCACAGGUAAUACAACUGCCAAUGCCUAGCCUAAAACUUCCCA